CAAGGUUUCCGUAGGUGAACCUGCGGAAGGAUCAUUGUCGAAGCCUAGAAAGCAUGACCGUGGACAAGUUGUUAAUCGUGGAUGCACUUGGAUCCUUCGGGUACUCCAUUUGCCUUCCCCCUCGGUCGGCGAUGAGCCUUGCGCCCAUCGCUGAUCGAAACGAAUGAACCCCGGCGCGGAUCGCGCCAAGGAAUCGAAACCGAAAGAGCCAGGCUCGGUGGCUCGUUCUCGGGCUGCCAGGGCCAUAGGUCUAUUCAAAAUACC
rnacentral:misc_RNA from 1 species